GCUUGAAUGGCCGGACGGGGCAGUGGGCAAGAGUGAAGACAAGUACUUGAUGCCUCCUCCGCCAUCUCCUGCGCUUGGCGAAAGGAAGGGAGCCGCCAUGCUCCCAGCUCAGGAGACUCAAAGGGGCUUACAAUCUCCUUGCCCUUCCCCCCUCAC